AGAUCACUUCUCUUGGAGCCCUUCUGUGAGCCCAGGAUACAGAUGGUGUUCCUUCUGAGGUAGAAGAGGAGCAUUUAUUAUGAGAGAAAAAAAGAUGGCUGUCUCUAUCUUUGAAUUCAUGUGUGCUGUCACAGGAAACAAAACCUGCCUGCUAUUUUUGGGUACUAUUAAGUGCAUAACAGAAGGUCAAAUGCCUUCCACUCUCUUCUUCUGGAAGAAAGAAGUUACCACUGUAUUAAGCCUAAAAGUCUUAGAGUAAACAGUUUGAAUUUGAAAACAUUCAAAAGAUUAUUUACCACUUCCUUUUCUUACUCAAAUAAUUUUCACAGUUAAAAAUUUGAGCAUUAUUUCCUGUAUCACUUUCCUUACAGCUUCUACAGAUUGUUUCUUCAUAGUCCUUUCUCUGCUUUUUUUUCCUUGCUAAGAUGCACUAUACUACUGGC
ensembl:lncRNA